ensembl:misc_RNA 7SK 7SK RNA
GGAUGUGAGGGCGAUCUGGCUGCGACAUCUGUCACCCCAUUGAUCGCCAGGGUUGAUUCGGCUGAUCUAGCUGGGUAGGCAGGUGUCCCCUCCUUCCCUCACCGCUCCAUGUGCAUCCCUCUCAAAGCUGAGUGCUCGGUCGAAGAGGACAACCUUCUCCGAUAAUGGAGUGCCAUUCUUCUGUCAAGGGUAUACGAGUAGCUGUGCUCCCCUGCUAGAACCUCCAAACAAGCUCUCAAGGUCCAUUUGUAGGAGAACGCAGGGUAGUCAAGCUUCCAAGACUCCAGACACAUCCAAAUGACGCGUUGCACGUGGCAGUCUGCCUUUCUUA